CCGGUAAACGCCGAGCCGCGGGACCGGCGCGGGAGCUGCGGUGAUAGCGCUGCACGGCUCCAGGGUAGGAAUGCAAAGCAGUAGGACUAUGUUUGCCGAGACUUCCGUGGGACUCUCGCAGCGGACAGCCCAUUCUUGCGGAUUCAUCCCCGUGUGACGCGGUGUCGGACAGGAGCUGUCGGACAGGUCUACGGGUCAUCCGCAGGCACCAAACAGCUCCGUGGGAUUUACAUUCCCAGUACUGCUGCUCCCCGUGUGGAACCACAGCGGUUUUCCUCAUUUGCUCUAAACAAAAUCAGUUAAUGAGAAAAACCACCACCCUGUCACCCAGUUUUCUGCAGACCCAUCAGUCUGUGUAUAUGGCUGAAUUACCAACCUGAUCCAAGAGGAAAAUCCAGGCAAAUGCUGGAGGGAUGUUUGGUUGCUGAGGAUGUGGAGUGGAAGGGGCAAGCAAGGAGCACUUGGCAGCAGAUGAUGACACUCUAGGCUAAGUUACUACAGCUACUCAGGCUGCUGUAGUUCAAUCCAAGCAGACAGUAUAGACUUUUUUGUUUUAAAGUUUCUCUGAAGUUCUAAGCAGAUAAAAUUAUCCAAUUAGAUAACUGACUCUGAAGUUCUUUCUUUGAGAAUUUUUCUGAAGAUUUCUCUUGUUUUCAUGUUGACUUUGUCCAAAGGCACAGUCCCUUAAGAUAUCCUGAACAAGUCACUUCUGGAUUAUUGUAUGGGAACAAGUAACUCAGUGGAGAAGCACACCUCUGUGCUCUUUUAAGGGAGGUCAUAUGACAGGGAUGAGGUGAAAAAAAAAAAAGAGUUAAAGAAAAAAUGUCACACAGGUGUGCUAUGCAUUCUUCUUCAUAGCAAACAACAUAGAAAAAGUGAAACUUGAACAGCACCCUUUCUUAGACCCAUGAUUAGAUGCAUGUAAUAAACUUGGGGUAAAACUGAGGUCUGGAGAGUUUAAAAGACCCUGUUCCACCCUAACUCAUUAGCAAAACUAAGAAGAGAAGGUAAGAGCUGCCUCCUGCCUGAAAAAGCAGUUUAAUAAAUAGCUUUAAAACCCCAGUGGGUUAAGUAUUAUGUAUUUGGCAAAGAAUGUUUCUUUCAAGGCCUCUGAAGAACGGCUGGCAUCGCGCCGAGGCUCUGCCUGGGCUGCAGCUGCCGGGACACAGGGCAGGGACUGUACGCAGCGAGGGUGAGCACUGGCCCGUGGUGCAGCCUCGCUCCGCCCUGCCGCUGGGGACACAAAGUCCUUGUCCUCGACCUCCAGCAUCCCCCGAGAGAGGGCACAGCCUCCGGAGUUAUCCCGAGGAGCGCUAGGACGAGUGGUGGCUGUCGGCUUGGUGUUGGCGUAGUGCCCGCUGCUGCCGCCCAGCCGUGAGCCCGUGGCGAGCUCGCCUGGCAGAGGGAGCUUGGCUGGCCGUGGGGAGCUCUCCUCCCGCCAGCAGUCCAGGUCUGUCCUGCAGCAGUUGAAACAGAAAGAGAAUUUAUAUUUCAUCUUCAGAAAUUACAUGAGCUUCCAAAUUACACACUGAAUGACAAGAGAGUGGCACAGAUGAAUUCUGAUCCCUGCUGCUUGUUUGUGCCGGGAUGCUGCUCCCCACACCUCUCCCGCGCUGAUCCCAUUCCUGUGUGACCAUCGGCCUCUACAGGCUACCUGGACCUCAGACUUCCUGCAAUUUUCCAUGUCGAACGGCUCCAACAAAAGCAUAAGCCGAAUUAUAAGCACAUUUCCAAGAUAUCUCUGGAGAUAUUUCCAUUCUGUGACUGUAUUUUCCUCACUACAGAUGGGUUCAGCUGUAGCUUCCCAGCGUUCCCCUACUGUCUAUAUUUAGUUAGUGCUUAAAUCAGCACAAAGGUGCCUUCUGUUAUCCCUCCCACUCGGAAAGGACCUGAUGGAGGUUGCAGGGAAAUGCUUCAGAGCGAGAAGGAAGAGCAGCUGAUGGGGGCUGAGCUUCAGAGCAGAUCUCGGGCUACGGCUGCCUUUAAAUGGAGUUAUUUUAAGCGCUUUUGGGGAGGGCAGGAUGGUGAGUGUGGUGUGGUCAGGAUGACCUACCAAUAAGAAAAACCAGGGAAAUUGUCUCUAUUUGUUGUCCCUGCGACGGGCAGCUUUGUGUAUCAGUGGAAUUGCUGAAACCGUUCUCCUGCCCAGGCCAGGGGCAAGGGUGCCCAUUUUCCCCACCAUCAUGGACUGCCUUUGACACACCCACAGGCACAGUUCAGUGUCUCUGAUCAGACCCAGAGAUGUGUUCAGCUGCUGUACUGGCUCGGUAGACGAGAUGGGAAAUACCCAGGGACAGCCUGCAGCCCCUUGGGUUUUGGGUGCCAUCUCUACCAAGCCCAUCCAGGAAUGUCACAGGUGACCACAUGAAGGCUCACAGGGCCACACAUGAGACUCAAUGAAAACAUUAAAAAAGCCAGUAGUUUGAGAUUUAACCCUGUUUUCUCUGCAGACAGCUUUACAGAACAAGGUCACCAAAAAGGUCUCCGAAAUCCCUUACAUAUGUUGAUGUUGUGGUGGAGCUGUGCAGGUGUAAUUGCUGUACAUGAGACGCUGCUCUUACUGUGAACUCCUUGUGUUACACCAGUCACCCAACAAACCCUGUUUGAUACUACACUCUAAAUAAUUUUCUGACAUGGAUUAUAAAAGAAAACCCGGCUGUCAGAGGCUGAUCUGGCUAUAUUUGGGAAAUAAACACACUCGCAGCUUUGUAAAGCCA